rnacentral:rRNA from 1 species
CGAGAUUCCCCCAGUAGCGGCGAGCGAACGGGGAGGAGCCCAGAGCCUGAAUCAGUGUGUGUGUUAGUGGAAGCGUCUGGAAAGGCGUGCGAUACAGGGUGACAGCCCCGUACACAAAAAUGCACAUAUUGUGAGCUCGAUGAGUAGGGCGGGACACGUGGUAUCCUGUCUGAAUAUGGGGGGACCAUCCUCCAAGGCUAAAUACUCCUGACUGACCGAUAGUGAACCAGUACCGUGAGGGAAAGGCGAAAAGAACCCCGGCGAGGGGAGUGAAAAAGAACCUGAAACCGUGUACGUACAAGCAGUGGGAGCCUCUUAAUGGGGUGACUGCGUACCUUUUGUAUAAUGGGUCAGCGACUUAUAUUCUGUAGCAAGGUUAACCGAAUAGGGGAGCCGAAGGGAAACCGAGUCUUAACUGGGCGUUAAGUUGCAGGGUAUAGACCCGAAACCCGGUGAUCUAGCCAUGGGCAGGUUGAAGGUUGGGUAACACUAACUGGAGGACCGAACCGACUAAUGUUGAAAAAUUAGCGGAUGACUUGUGGCUGGGGGUGAAAGGCCAAUCAAACCGGGAGAUAGCUGGUUCUCCCCGAAAGCUAUUUAGGUAGCGCCUCGUGAAUUCAUCUCCGGGGGUAGAGCACUGUUUCGGCAAGGGGGUCAUCCCGACUUACCAACCCGAUGCAAACUGCGAAUACCGGAGAAUGUUAUCACGGGAGACACACGGCGGGUGCUAACGUCCGUCGUGAAGAGGGAAACAACCCAGACCGCCAGCUAAGGUCCCAAAGUCAUGGUUAAGUGGGAAACGAUGUGGGAAGGCCCAGACAGCCAGGAUGUUGGCUUAGAAGCAGCCAUCAUUUAAAGAAAGCGUAAUAGCUCACUGGUCGAGUCGGCCUGCGCGGAAGAUGUAACGGGGCUAAACCAUG